GAAAUCUGGAAAUUAGCACACUCCGGGGAAACAAAUUGCUUUGUUGAUGCAGAACGUAACAGAGAGAGAGACACACACAGAGAGAGAAAACAUCAGUCUGACUCUGCUGUGGAUGAACUGGUGAGAUUUAUUUUACACCACUUUUUUACCCACACUGAGAGGAGCUGAUGUUUCUGCAGAAAACUUUCUGAUGACCAACAGAAAACACAAUUUUGAUUUAUGUAGACAGAGGAAGAUGCUGCAGUAGUUAACUCUGGAAGAGAUACACAAUCUGCCCUCAGGGUUUAGGCGCUAAACAUGAAACCUUCUCCAGAUCAGCUUGGACCUUUAGAGACAAUAAUCCCAAUGCUCUUAACCUUAGUGUGCAGCUUUUGACCCAAUAAUGUCUGUUUUUAUUUAUCAAAUUCUGCAUUUCUCAGUCAAAUUAAAGUCUUAAGCAGGUUUAAAUAUAUGACAUUAAACAUCAACCAACUCCAGCUUUUCACUCAUUUUCAGACCCCUGAGUUCACCUGCUGCAGCCUUUAGCUUACAGACCAGAGAAACUGCUUUGUGAUUUUUAUGUCGAAGAAAGCUUCCAAAGGUUUUACAGGGGUAAGGUCUUCUGGUUUAGCUGAGCCUCCCUUUAAUCAUGUAUGUCCUUGAUUUUGUUUUUCUGAUGUUUGAAAGCUUCUGUAUUUUUGCAUUGACUUUGUUUCCACUCUGCAAAGUCACAAAUUUGAAGUGUUGAAUCAGGUUUAACUUAAGACACAGUCACCUGAUGAAACUGAAAAAAAGUCUCAUUUGAAAAUGCUGCACGCCGAAAAAUUAGACAGGUUCACUUUAAUAAAAAAAAUAUCUGAACAUUUCGCAAGAUUUUGAGAGAAAGGACAUUUUAAGAUUCAAAGAGAAGAAAACUCUCUCUUUGUUAUUUUUUUUUCUGGGUAGAUUUUUAUUUUUUAUUUUUAUUUUUUUCCACACAUGGUCUUAUUUUUGGCCUGUUUCUUGAGGACAGAUGUUUUUGUCUAGACUUGUUUGGUGAAGGUAGCUUUAACUCACCCAAAUCAGACAACGUCUACUAAAAUUAGAAUAAAAUACUUCCAAAGGUUAAAUUUUUUGCACUGCAAUGUAUCACAUGGAGCUGCUGUGAUGAUGAUAAAAUAUGAAUCUGAUUUUAUUUAAAGGAGAUAAUAAGAGUUCAGGUGAACUCUGCAGACGAGCAUCCUUCAGUUUUAUAAACCUACAUGUAACAAACAUGGAUAAUAAAGAGCUUACAUUAUUACACAGUAAAAAACAGAAGUGCAGUAAACAGAUCAUGCUCGUCAUCGUCAGUGAUUUUUUUUCAAAUCUGGGUGAUAUUUCAUAAUGUUGGCAUUUAAGGGUGUGUGACCUAUCUGGAGACCCAUGAUCAUCUGGAUACAGAUUUAAAUUAAGAUGCAUGUGCAGGUUUUAUAAUUUGAGUGUCACAAUUUUUUAUGUCCAGUUCAUUUAUUUAAAAAUUUUACCAAAUUCUGAGAAACAUUAACUGUUAUGAUGCUAAAAAUAUUAGGGUGAAGUGAAGUCCAGCAUUAACAUCAAACUGCAGAAAUAAUAUUGACUUAAUCAGACAGAAAGGAAAAAUACAUCUUUUUUUUUUAUUCCAUCCAAAAGGUUUCUGCACAUGUUUUUGUAACUCCCUGAAUUAAACCCAAUAACCACUAAAUUAUCAGAUUUGUUAUCCUUGAUCUACUGCAGCUCUUUGUCUAAAACUGCUGUGUGGAUUUGAGUGGGUUCAUGCAUUAAAUGAAAAAACGGUGUGUAUGAGCUGUGUUUUAUUUCGGUAUUCAUAAAAACGCCACAAAAACACAGUCCUGAUAAAAGAUCAAAAUCUGAAACUUCACUUUCAGCAGAAUAAAAAGCAUUAAGAGUUUGCACAGAUCCUGUCUGAUGUUAAAAUCUGAACAUUGUGACAUUUAACCUUGUUUAAAUAAAUGCAGGGCACUCCAGUUCUGCUGCAGGACUUUGUGAAUCUCUGCUCAUCUCUGCUCAUUUGGGCGUCUGCUCAGAGAGCAGAGCGCCUGCCAGUCCUCCAAGCGGUUCGAUCCCCUCCUUACGGAGCAGAAACGAGAUGGGAACACAUUUUAAAGCUCUGUUCCUCUGCAGCGAGGCUCCGUCUCCUUGUCCUGUCAAUCAUCCUCCACCCUGCUCUGCGCUCUGUUCGCCGGCUCUGAGCAGCUUGGCAGAGACGCGGGGUGAUGAUGAGAACUCGUCGCAGCCUAGCAGGGUUUCCUCCUCAUCAAGCUCAGAACAAAGGGGGGCUCGGUCCGCUCGGCUGCUCUAAAUACAGCCUGCAACAUGCCCGGGCCAACUGCUGCACACGCUCAGUGAGCGCUUGCUGCUGUAGAUGAAGGAAACACAACAUGGAGGAUCAGGAAGAGUUUGGGGGAGUUUGAGUUUUGGACAGGAGUUACAGGACAGCUUAAAGCUGCUGCUGCUGCUGUGAGUUAAACAUGUGAGGAGGUCAGAGGUCAUGGCUCUAACUCACUCACCAAAGAGGAGGAGGAGGAAAUUCAACAUCACACGCUCAGGAUGAGAAAUCUUUUCAAACUUCAGCUCUGAUUUUCUUCCUGCCUGAGAUUUCUGUAGUUUUGAAUGAAGCCUUUCCUCCUGAGGAGUUUUAGGGACAGGGGCACUCCCUGCUCAGACAAACUCCAGUAAACUGGAGCAAUUAAUCCAAGAUAGUUGUUUCCUGCACCAACAUUCAAGAGGUUGAUUUCUUAAUGGUGUUUAUUGGCAGCUCAGUCAUGGUUAUACUGACGAGACUGUGCAGGUUCAAUCUGGAGACCUGUUAUGGUGCCCUUGCAUGCAGACUACCACAAAAAAAGGGGUCAGCUUGUUUUACCAAGUUUUUAAAAAGUGUCAAAUAGGAGCUAGAUAAUAAAGAUGCAGGAGGGAUGGUACCAGUGCAGUGAAAAUGAUAAUCAAACAUUUCAACUGUUCAACGGAAAGAUGUCAGACUAUUAAAAAAAAACAUUUUAUAAAAGUGCAACUUUAAAUAAAACACGUCUUCAGCUGCACGUUAGGGCCAAGGUCAGCUCUCCUCCCUGUGCUGGUAACCACCGGACGAGCUGACACCUGCACACAGCACACACUCAAUGAGUAAGAUACAUCAAUCUGUCAUAACCUAACAGACUGUUAUUUUUAUUGAUGACACAGUGAUGAGACAAACAUGUUUAAAGCCCGCCUGAGUAACAUCCAGUUAGGUUGUCUGAGUGUUUGUGUCUGCAGCCUUUUGACCAGGUCUCCUUUAAAAGUCUUAAUAGGAUUGACCUGCUGAAAUAAAGAUUCAGUAAAAAUACUUACAGUGACUUAUGACAGAAAUCUCCUCCUGAUGACCCCUGACACUCCAAUGUUUCUUUUAUUUUAAUUUUUUUUUUACAUUUGAAGUUAUAGAAAAAGAUUUGUUUGUGCAGCUUCUCUGCUGGCACCUACUGCACACUCUUGUACCCGUUAUAGACAUUAAAAGUGAUGUCCAAAACAUAGGAGCCAUUGGAGCUAGGAGACUGGCUAUCAGACAUUUAAGAACCACAAUAUUUAGCGUACUGUACGUCUACUCCGUCAUUCAAAACACGACCACAGUAUUUACGUUAAACACGCUGAGUUAGAUUCAUCGAAAAUUGUCCUGAUGCAUGCUGGUGACAGAGAGAUUGCCUCAGUAUUUCAUAUUUGCAGGUUUUUUUUUUUGUGGUUUUUCUUUUUUUGCACCAUUAUCAUUAACACCUGCAUGUCUUUAGUGUAUCCUUCUGUGGAGACAUGUUAGAAAUGUGAACAUGCAUGCAUCUUUCUGUAUCUUUGCAUGAUGCUCUACAUUGGUGUGAAGUUUAAGUGAGUAAAAAGGGUGUCCCAGCAGGUUUGGAGUUUGCAGAGUGUUCAGUGUUGGUGUAUCUGUCAGAUUAAAUGUGCUUAAUGUCUCUGAGUGACAUGAUGGACACUAUUGUUCUCCAUCACAGAGAGGACACUGAGCAGCUGUCACAUCAUCAACAAUACAAACUAAUGUGGAUGAGGGAUGUCAGAAAAACUGGUUCUUGAAUAAGAGGGAAACAGUGAAUGAGCCUUGUACUCACCGAGUUUGUGUAGAAGUGUUCAGUCAUAUUUAACAGCGUUUUUCAAACAGAUGGAUCGUGCAAAAUUCAAAAUAUAAAACUGCAACUUUUGAAUGUUGACGUUAACGUAACUCUACAAAGAGACAGGAAGACACAAUUUUACAAGAUUUAUCACCCUUUUCUGUUUCCAUCAUCCUCCAUCUGUCUGAUCACUGUUAACUGUGAUGUGUUUAUGUGUGAUGUGAGUUGUUUAUGCAGUUACCAUCUUUUUUUUCCUGUAGGGGGAACAUGGUCCCCGUAAAGCUUUAACUCUUUUACAUGACUUGUCAGACUCAGACAGAGACAAAGAGCUUUUACUCAGGACCAUGACUCUUUUUUACAAAACUCAAUUCCAUUGAAGUUGGGAAAUUGUGAUAAAGGUAAAUAAAAACAGAAUACAAUGAUUUGCUAAUCCUUUUUAAUCUAUAUUCAAUUGAAUACACUACAAAGACGAGAUAUUUAAUGUUCAAACUCAUAAACCCGCUACACCACUGUGCCGCCUAUCUACACCACUGUGCUGCCCAUUGGUUAUCUUUCAGCAUUGAAAAUUCCAAUAACACCCUUAUUUUUAUGUGUUCUGGAUCACAGUAUCCAGAAUUUUGUCCGGAUCACAACUAAAAUUUGAUGGGAUCCUCCUGGGGCUGAGACACACCUCUGGUGAAAAUUUCAGGUCAAUCCGUCUGUUACUUUCUCCGUAAAGUUGCUAACAGACAAACAAACAAUCAAACAAACCAGUGCUACUGAAAACAGUAGCACUGCCAGUAAACCUUGGCAGAGGUAAUAAACAUUUGGUAACUGAGGAGACUAAUUGUUGAAGCUUUGUAGGUGGAAUUCUUUCCCAUUCUUGCUUGAUGUACAGCUUCAGUUGUUCAACAGUCUGGGGUCUCUGUUGUCAUAUUUUAUAAUAUUUAUCGUUUUAUAUAUAUUUUUCAUAAUGCACCACACAUUUUCAAUGGGAGACAGGUCUGGACUGCAGGCAGGCCAGUCGAGUACCCACACUCCUUUACUACGGAGCCAUGCUGUUGUAACACGUGCAGAAUGUGGCUUGGCAUUGUCUUGCUGAAAUAAGCAGGGGCGUCCAUGAAAAAGACGUUGCUUGGAUGGCAGCAUAAGUUGCUCCAAAACCUGUAUGUACCUUUCAGCAUUAAUGUUGCCUUCACAGAUGUGUAAGUUACCCAUGCCUUAGGCACUAAUGCACCCCUAUAUCAUCAUAGAUGCUGGCUUUUGAACUUUGCGUCAACAACAUGGUUCUUUUCCUCUGGCCUGGAGGACACGACGUCCACUAUUUCAAAAAACAAUUUGAAAUGUGGACUCGUCAGACCACAGAACACUUUUCCACUUUGCAUCAGUCUAUCUUAGAUGAGCUUGAGCCCAGAGAAGCCGGCGGCAUUUCUGGAUGUUGUUUAUAAAUGGCUUUCGCUUUGCAUAGUAGAGUUUUAACUUGCACUUACAGAUGUAGCAACGAACUGUAUUUCCUGAAAGUGGUUUUCUGAAGUGUUCCUGAGCCCAUGUGGUGAUAUUCUUUACACAUUGAUGUUGGUUUUUAAUUCAGUGCCUCCUGAGGGAUUGAAGAUCACGGGCAUUCAAUGUUGGUUUCUGGCCGUGUCGCAUACGUGCAGUGAUUUCUCUGGAUUCUCUGAACCUUUUGAUGAUAUUAUGGAUCGCAGAUGUGUAAACCCCUAAAUACCUUGCAAUUGUACUUUGAGAAACGUUGUUCUUAAACUGUUCGACCAUUUGCUCAUGCAGUUGUUCACAAAGUGGUGAACUUCGCCCCAUCCCUGCUUGUGAAUAACUGAGAAUUUUUGGGGAAGCUGCUUUUAUACCCAAUCAUGGCACCCACCUGUUCCCAAUUAGCCUGCUCACCCGUGAGAUGUUCCAAAUAGGUGUUUGAUGAGCAUUCCUCAAAUUUCUCAGUAUCUUUUGCCACCUUUCCCAACUUCUUUGUCAUGUGUUGCUACCAUCAAAUUCUAAAUUUAAUGAUUAUUUGCAAAAAAUAUAUAGUUCAUGAGUUUGAACAUUAAAUGUCUUGUCUUCUUAGUGUAUUCAAUUGAAUAUAGGUUGAAAAGGAUUUGCAAAUCAUUGUAUUCUGUUUUUAUUUACGUUUAUCAUAAUUUCCCAACUACAAUGGAAUUGGGUUUUGUAGAUCAGGAAAUUACAACAAGGCAAAUAUCGUUGUCAUUUUGGAGGUUGUUUACAGAAGUAAAGCUUGGGAGAUACAAAAUUUCUGUAGAGCAAGAACAUAGGACUGAGUGAUUUGGCAAAAAAAAAAAAUCAUGAUAUAUUUUGUCAUAUCGUCUGAUCUUGAUUAUUAUCACGAUUGUUUUGUAUUUUCUUAAACUGCGAGUUUUAAAGCACCUGUACAAAAAACUUAAGAAACUAAAGAUUAGUUCAACAUUAUAUUAAAAUCCAAAGUCAAUAUGAGGCAAAUUAAAGGAAGAUAAACAUAGAAGCAUAUAAAAACAUUUUUACUCAAUAGUAUAACAAAUGUAGAUAAAUAUGAAAUAAUACAGUAAACUAGUUUACAGUCCUCAGUGUUUUAGCAGGAUUGCUAGACUUAAAACAAAUAAAUGGUCCCCUCAGGAAUAAUGAAAACGCCUUAAAAUGUAAACAUUAGAUGAUGUAAACAUAGAUGAUAGGAUUGAUUGCUGCUUUAGUUUAGUGGCUGCACUGCUAGUUGUGGCUAAACUGCUAAUGCUACUUGUGCCAUCAGCAGUGACAGGCUGUACAGACUCUACUUGCAUUUUCAUGCUGUCCACAUAAUCACUUCAUCAAAUGAUUAAACAGAUCUGUUGUGUUGCCGGUUUUUGAGGACACCAACCACCGACAUACCAUGCACAUUGGCUCAAUUGCUCAAUGUCACUUUGGAGAUACCGAACCACCACCACACAACUGACGUUUAAUAACUUUCUUUUCAACAAUGACAUCUUUGGUGGAUGACUCAAACUCAUGGCUGACAUCUAUUUUGCUGCCCUCAGCUUCCCAUUCAGUCAUUCUUUUUACUACCCCUGUUUACUUCUCCGGCAACUUACAGAAGUGGAGCAGGAAAGGCUCAACUCUGAUUGGCUGUUGUCACACACAUUUCUGCCAUGUUAGAUCGAGUAACUAUGCUCACAACUGAUCACCGUGAUCACUGCACCUUAGAGCAAGGUUGCUUUUAUUUCUGAGGAUGUGCACAGCUAUUUCAUAAGGUAUGUCCCUGGCCUUACUGCUUUGUGGAGAUACUUGUGCUUCCUUUUAAAAUAAAGGCAUGUCAGUGAUCAAAAAAAGACACAAAGGCGGCAUAAGACCAGCAAGAACGCUGAGUUCUUCAUUCCUUCAGAAAGUAAAAACUCAGCAUCAUAGGUUGUCUUGUACUGUACCUUUAAAGUUUUGUUCUGUCACUAAUUUGAUGCAGUUUCCCUCCAAAGUUAUUGGUCACUAUAUCAUUUACAUGACCUCUGCCUGAGGGAGCGUUUCAGUCCUUUCUUUCUCCGGCCAUCUCCACAACUCAUUCAACAACACAUUUACAACCAGAAGAUAAAAACAGUUCUCCAAUCAAAGACACGCACGCAUGCACACGCACACACACACACACACACACACACACACACACACACACACACACACACACACCCACACACACACACACAAUCAAGUGAUGAUCCAAGGCGACAAUAGAGCAACAACAACAUGUUACAGUCCAUCAUCUCAUCCUGUCCAUCCUGCUGCUAAUGUGGCGGGGCGUCGCUAAAUGGCCUCGCACAACUCUGGACAUCACAUCUGUUCAACUGUCAAACACACACGAAAACAAACAGAUACACACAAUCCCACUACAGUUUGAUUGCUGCCUCCCCCUGGUUGGGGAGGAGGGGCGAGGUUGCUCUGUCUGGGACUUUACCUCCCUCUCUCUCUGUCACCUCUCUUUAUGUCCGUUUCUCAAGCACUGGGGGGAAGAGGGAUCAUGUGUCGCGUGCUAAACGGACAUCUAUGCUAAUCUGGAUCUGGAUGUGAGCAGUCAGAACACUGAGGCGCACACACACACACACACACACACACACACACACUUGUGUCACAUCGUUUCUGUGUGGACCUGGCUGCAGGGCUUCUCUCGUCCUCGUCACUCUGACUCAGACAAAGCUCGUAAACAGGUCAGAGGAUGGUGACAUGGCUCUGUCUGCUGCUGUUAGUCCAAGGACGCUCUCACACAUUAAUUAAAUCACAUCUGUAAAAUUACAACAAGUUGACACACACACACGCACGCACGCACGCACACACACACACACACACACACACACACACACAGUCAUCUCUGUGGACAGCAGCUCUGUUUAUUUCCAUCUUUAUCUGGCUUUUAAGUUUUUCUCUAACCUCAGUCUGGUCUCUGAAAGAAGUUGAAGUCAAAAACAGAACGUACAAAAUGACAAAUUUGAGCUGACUGUAUAAAACCUUAUAUGUAUGGAUAUUUAUUGUUGUGUAUGUUUACAGUCAAGUUAAUUCUUCUGUUUUCUAGAUACCACAAAACCUGAACAAGAGUAACCUCAAAACAUUUUCAGUAAAAAAAAAAAUGGCUCAGUUGUGAGAAUAACACUCCAGUUUGUCAGUAGGACUCUUCUCCUACAGAGCCAUGCUUAAAGAUUCAGUAGGCAGAAUAUUAUUUUUUUAUAAUUUUGCUAAAAUUUCAUAAUCACCUUUCAGCAUAUUGAAUUUGUAAUGAUCUGAGGGAAGAUCACCCUUCUGCCUCUCCUCUUGGAUUUGUAAACAGACUUAAGAAAAUCUGUACCGAGACGGGGGGUCACAAUGGCGGAUAGUCAGAGAGAGAAAGUAUCUAUUCUUGCAUGGGCAACAACUGCCUGCACUAAAAAGUAGGCCAAAAAACGUAAGACUGACUUUUCUAAAAGAGAGUCUAAAACGGAAUCUGACAAUUCACGCAACAAAACACGGGGAAAUAUCGGAGCAGCAUUUCAGAGAUGGAGACUGCGGGAUAGCAUCGGCUUCAAGCUGGAUUCCAAGCUCUGCUUCAUCUCCUGGACCAGUAAGCUGCUAACUUCAUUUUCCCUUAAUAUCUAAAUGUGUUGUGGUGCUUGUAAGCGGUCAUAAUGGCCGCCGUACAGGUGAUGCUGUAUUGAAGAGGUUGUAGGAUGUGACAUUUUGGUCAUAUUGCAUGCCUACAGUCACCAGUGUCUGCAUGGUAGUCUGUUGGCAUCAUAGACUGUAUAAAGAAUGGACAGAGUCUGCCUCCUCUCUGGGUGAAGCCACUCCCAGAACAGCACCCUCUGUUGAUGGGCUGCAGUAUAGGUCAUAAAUCCCGCCUCUGCCAGCAAAGCUUAUGGGGCUGUGGACAAACUUUAGAAAUUUAUUACACAGAACAUACAUUUUUUUCCCCCCUGCUUGUGAUGUUGAUAUGUGGUUACUGUGGUGAGACGCCUCCUCUUCUUGCUUUUUUUUGGUUGGACUUCCUGUUGUUACUUUGUCUCCCUGGUCUGGCUUGACUCUAUUAUAGAGCAUCCUCCCUCUCCCUGGUCGCUGAGGCUGAGUGAGACUCCACACCUGCACUGCAUCUACAAUCAAGGCCCUUUAAGAAGCCAGCAG